UAUAAAAGGCAAGUUAAGCGCAGACAGCAGUGGCAACCGGAGCCCGGCGAAAGGGGAACGGAUGAAGGGCGGAAGGACAAGGGAGCGGUGGCAGUGGCAGGAGCAGGCUGGAGACGGAUCUCGUGCUCAGUACCGGCAGCGAGAACAACAAUAACAAUGCGAAAAGGUAUUGGUGGCAAAACAGAACUGAAAAUCAAACUGCGGGGGAAAAAGGACCAAAGGACUCGCUCGCACACAGACAAUCGCACUGGCGCACCAGUGAAGGGAAAGCCCCACAGGAAAAGCUUCGGAAGUGCGCUCCAUGCCGCAAUGGCAACGGAAGCAGCACAGGACAGGACAGGACAGCCAGAACGAACGAGCGGUGCGGUGGGCGGGUUGGUUUGCUGGUUCGGUGGCGGUUGGGGAAGGCAGUUUGUCAAGUGGCGGAGGGGAAAAGGACACGAGGCGUAGCAUGAGCUGGUGGCAGAGGGCCAUGACACGACCUGCUCCUGCCGUUGUGUCGGCUAAAGAGAGAAAAAUGACUAAAUCAAAAGGAAGUGCGCCACACUGUGCGGUGUAAGAGCACGUACAAUACGCCGCACUAUGGAUUUGAUAAGCUGGCUCAUUUCACUGGACAAACGGCCAGCCGGUUCCAGUGUUUUAGGCAGGACAACAAGCGCGACAAACGCGCAUUAAAUUCCUUGCUAGUACCACUGACUACCAAAUUGUAAUU
ensembl:ncRNA lncRNA:CR43700 long non-coding RNA:CR43700